rnacentral:rRNA from 1 species
AGCGAACGCUGGCGGCAGGCCUAACACAUGCAAGUCGAACGGACCCUUCGGGGUUAGUGGCGGACGGGUGAGUAACACGUGGGAACGUGCCUUUAGGUUCGGAAUAGCUCCUGGAAACGGGUGGUAAUGCCGAAUGUGCCCUUCGGGGGAAAGAUUUAUCGCCUUUAGAGCGGCCCGCGUAUGAUUAGCUAGUUGGUGGUGUAACGGACCACCAAGGCGACGAUCAGUAGAUGGUCUGAGAGGAUGAUCAGCCACAUUGGGACUGAGACACGGCCCAAACUCCUACGGGAGGCAGCAGUGGGGAAUCUUGCGCAAUGGGCGAAAGCCUGACGCAGCCAUGCCGCGUGAAUGAUGAAGGUCUUAGGAUUGUAAAAUUCUUUCACCGGGGACGAUAAUGACGGUACCCGGAGAAGAAGCCCCGGCUAACUUCGUGCCAGCCGCCGCAGUAACAC